rnacentral:lncRNA from 1 species
GCAUGAAGUGCAGCAUGAGAGUUACAGAGAUGAAAGAUGUGGUUCCUGUCUUGGACAAACCUUCAGUCUAAUGGGGAAAACAAACAAAGAAGCAAAAGACGGAUAUCGCAGACUGAAGAAGUUCAGACACAGUUCAUGGGAAGAGCUGAUGUUGGAAAGACCUUUUUGUGAUGGGGGAAGCAGUAGUGGUUAAAGCCGAGAAGCUGGAACUUCAGUCUCAGAAAUAAAGAUCAAGCACACAGCACAUUCCAACAAGUCCCACUGAGGCAUGGGUGGCCCUGGAGCAGAGAUACAGUAAAUAUGGAAGCAGCUGAUUCAAAAGUACAGGGAUAGUAUCAGCAGGCCCCUCUUCUGGUACAUAACGUGUUCCUUAAGACGCUUGGAAAUUCAAACAAUAGAGAUCUCUGUAUAUGCUUCUGGGGAGAGGGAAGAGGUAUGGACAUCAAGAUUCCUGGAAAAUACUAUUGAUGUCUUUCUGUCAUGCAUCAUGGAAAUGCUGGAGACGAUUUGUCGGAUAAUUAAAAGAGAAACCUGUAAAGGCAAGAUUCCUGUGAGCGAGUUGGUGCUGCAACGUGCUGCUCUGAACUGUGCCACCCCUUGGGUCCUCACAGAUGCCCCCAGAUCGCUUGAAAUGUCUAAAAAGACCUCGGAACAUUAGAAAAUGUCAAUUGUUAGAAUAAUUUCUGCCUCUUACAACAAGAGAAAAUACUAUGGAUUUAAUAGUUCAUUUUUAAAAUGUUUUUAUCCACCAGUAACUGUCUAUUAGGAACAUUUCAGUUAUAAUUGGAAUAAAUUGUUGCCCAGUAACAAGCGACUAAGUCUGUAGCUACUUUCCAUAGAAUCAGUGACUAGAAAUAGCUACAAAGAGCUAAAUGCAAGUCAAACCACAACACUACCA